rnacentral:misc_RNA from 1 species
CGGACCUCAUUCUUUCUUUCUUUUAUUUUUUUUUUUCUCCCUCUAUUUCCAGAAUUCUUUUCUUUUUGCUGUCAUGCUAUUCUAUUGCUUUUCCAUUUCUCCGACGUAAAUGUACAUGUUAGCCUAACUAUUUCAUAUUUACAAAAGCUAUGAUCGCUGCCUACCUGCUCCAUUGUAGUUACCUCUCCUGCCACUACCACUUUGUCUCCGAACCCCUCCUGUCCAAUCAAAAUCUUCAUCAUCAUCAUCAUCAUCUCCAUUCAUACGUCUAUAUUUUGUCUUCCUAGGGGUAGGGCGCUUCCUCUUGAUGUUUGCAGUAUAAGUGGAGUAAUCAACAGCAUCUUCCUUUAAAGCACUCUUAAGCUCCUGAUAUCUCUGCACCAAAUCCUGAUAUGUGGAUGGCACACUAGUCGAUGUUUCACUGAUGUCAAAGGGAAUAUUCUGCCUUGAGAGAACUUCCCCAGAUUUUGGGGGUUCGUUUGGAGAGAAAGCCUGGCAGCGGGCAUCAUUCAGGCUAUACACAACUUUUAGAUGCCUCUUGAGCUUCAAAAGAAGCUGCAAAGCAAUUGCCCAAAGACAAUCAACCUGGAUUUUCUCCUCAUCAUUUUUCGAGAUGCUGAAAGAAUCAGCUGAGCUCAUCCUAUCCAUCUUUGGUUCUCUUGAAGCAAUAGGGUUCAAAUGAGGCUCUUCCUGAACUGUUCCAUUCAAAUCAAAUGAUGUCAAAGGAGUCAAAUCAGGCUGCACAACUAGAUCUUGCUGCAUCAUCCCAUUCAAAUUCAUUGUGGG